GCUUCCCUCACCUUGAGCCGUUGAUCUGUCGCCACCGCUACAAGGGCUUGUCGCUGGAGCCACGACUGUCACUGAGCUUCCGUCGCCGCUGCCGUUCAAGCCGUUGCUGCCGUCGAUUUGGAGUUGCUGCGAUUGGAGCCACUAGCGGGGGUGAGUUGCUACUGCCCUGUUGCCGUCCUAAUCAUAUUCAACGUCUACUGCCCUGAGCUGUUUCUGCCCUUGAGUUUGUUGAGUUCGGAUUUCUUGUGCUACUGUAACUGUCAUUACUGCUGUGGGAAUCAACGUUUCUGUUUGGC
rnacentral:lncRNA from 1 species